rnacentral:rRNA from 1 species
GCUUGUCUCAAAGAUUAAGCCAUGCAUGUGUUAGUAUAAACGCCUUUAUACUGUGAAACUGCGAACGGCUCAUUAUAUCAGUUAUAGUUUAUUUGAUACUUUUCGACUAUUGGAUAACCGUAGUAAUUCUAGAGCUAAUACAUGCGUCAAAACCCGACUCCUGGGAGGGUUGUAUUUAUUAGAUGGAAACCAAUGCGGGGCAACCCGGUAUAUGGUGAUUCAUAAUAACUUUCGGAUCGAUCUUCGGAUCGAUGCAUCAUUCAAGUUUCUGCCCUAUCAGCUUUGGAUGGUAGGGUAUUGGCCUACCAUGGCUUUAACGGGUAACGGAGAAUUAGGGUUCGAUUCCGGAGAGGGAGCCUGAGAAAUGGCUACCACAUCCAAGGAAGGCAGCAGG